rnacentral:rRNA from 1 species
AUCGCCUCCCGAACCCAAUGAGCAUGGGAGGUCCCGCCUGCCCUGUGAUGAAAAUUUAACGGCCGCGGUAUUUUGACCGUGCAAAGGUAGCGCAAUCACUUGUCUUUUAAAUGGAGACCUGUAUGAAUGGCAUAACGAGGGCUUGACUGUCUCCCCCCUCCAGUCAAUGAAAUUGAUCUCCCCGUGCAGAAGCGGGGAUGACUUCAUAAGACGAGAAGACCCUGUGGAGCUUUAGACAAUGAAUGGUGCCUGUAAAGAAGUGAACUAAGCACAAAAACAAAAGGUUCUUCCAUUCAACAUGUCUUCGGCUGGGGCGGCCACGGGGUACAUAAAACCCCCGCGUGAAAUGGGGAUACUUCCACUUAAACCUAGAGCACCCCCUCUAAGUAGCAGAAUUUCUGAUCUCACUUGACCCGGCUAUGUUUAUGCCGAUCAACGGAACCAGUUACCCCAGGGAUAACAGCGCAAUCCUCUCCCAGAGCCCAUAUCGACGAGAGGGUUUACGACCUCGAUGUUGGAUCAGGACAUCCUAAUGGUGUAGCCGCUAUUAAGGGUUCGUUUGUUCAACGAUUAAAGUCCUACGUGAC